rnacentral:lncRNA from 1 species
UGAAACAGGCCCCUGUUUGACUUGUUUCUUGAAAACUAAACACCUUUGUAACCAGUGUGAUAAUUCAGUUCCCCAGAAUGUAUUUCUUUGAACACUUAUUGAGACUGUCUUCAGGAGUAAAUGAAGCCCAGGAUUAAGUGUCUGGGUAAAUAUGACUCGUCUCAAAGUAAUUAAGCUAACAAUGAGUUCUACUCUAACAGCUUCAUGACAAAUUUCAAAAAUUAGCAUGCAAUUCAAAUUCAUCUUGUGUCAUUAGAAAAUGUCCAGUGGCGUACUACCUUUUUCUUUAUUCAGAUUUGACCUUUUCACCUUCACUUCUUAAAGAGAUUUGGUACAUUCUAACUCUCUCCAUCCACUGUAGAGACAAAAGCCCAUUUGCUACAAGCCAGAUGUUCCUAUUACCUGAACGCUACCUUGGACUGCAGGACAGAAUUGAUUCUUAAGUAGACGGCUAUGCUUCCACAAUGAUUGUGUGCAAUGUUGACUUCUAAGUAGAUGACCACAGUCUCAUGAUAAGCGUGUAUAUGUGUGUCGAAAACACAUUCAGUGGUACUCUUUGUAUUUAAGAUUAUCACAGUAUACAUUUUCCUAUGUGGUGCUUAAGGAGUCUCAUUCUACGGUUUACAAGGUGUAAUAUUUGCACCCUAAAUUCUCAGGGUGUGCUAUUUUACCCAGAUACUUGAAAGAAAAAGGUGCCCUGUGUUUUAUCAGUACUGUUGAUGGGAGAAAAUUAUGUGUAAGUGUGUUUGAGAAAACUGCUCAUAAAAACCAAAUCAAUAAGCUCUUAGGCUUUUACAUAAUCUCUAAGGAGAUGUAUACAUAGGUAAUAUAUAUUGUCAAGAGACUGCUAAUGUAUUCUUUAACUUCUGGGUCUGAGAGAGGCCUCACCGGUGCAUAGAAUCAGUAAGAAAGCAUGUAGCAUUUUCUCAAAAGUGCCUUGAACUUGAAUCUAAUCUGAAUCGCACUCCAUUUGUGACAUGUGUGAAGAAAGACCCAGAAGCAGGACCCUGAAGCAUGGACUCCGGUGCGUGCCCCACGUCUCUGGGGAGACCUGAACGAUCAUUGCAAUACUCGUGAGCUAGCCACACCCUCAGUACUUCAUGUUGUGCUCUGUUGGACUUACUUCUGUUUAACUCAAAAUGGUGCAGAAUAAAAUUCACACAUCUAGUUUGGUUUUUCUUUUUAAGUUUCUGAAUUGCUUUUUUUCAAGUUAGUAUUAGUGGCAGCAAGUUCUUUCCAGGGUUCCCUGAGUCACCUACUAUGGCUGGAUCUGUUUUCUAGCAGACAGUCUCUUCCCACCCCCACCCUUUCUGAAGAUGUGUGUUUAUAUAUUUAUAUAUGAAAUUAUAUUCUUGUAUAGUGAUGGCCGAAGAGAAUGUGAAGACUGUGGAAGUUGCGUAUGACUAGGAGAGUGUAUAUUGUAUAAUGCAUACAGAAGGAUGUUGGAUAAUGACGAACUGUAACCCCAGACUACGAGAGAUGGCAUAUGGAAAGAAUGUGAAAAUUUAAACUGUAUCAAUGCAGCCAUCUUGGUGGAGAAGUUCCUGGCUGAGGUUUGAUGUGGUGGUACAAUGCGGUGAGCUGGCUACAGGAACUUUGCAUCCAGCCAAAAGCGCCAAGAUUUGCCUUUCAAGUGCUCUUGCCUAUGGAGAAAACUACUGAGAAGGGAUUCCUUGUGACAAGCCUACCUUUAAGUGCCAGCAUUUGUAAGGUGUGAUCUUGUGUAUUGGUUUUUUUAUUUUGACAGUUUUGAAAAUAUGUUUGUUGUUGUUGUUUUUCCAGUAAAAGUAACCAC